AUUUUUAAUUUAUUUUCCUUUUUCUUCUUUUAAUAUGAUAUAUUCAGCUAAACACACAGUCUCACCCAAAACCAUGCAACAUAGAUAAUAACAGAAGAACUAGAAGCUUGCAUAAUUGGUUUGUCAUUUGGGACCAAAAACAAAAACAACUAUGCAUGGCCAACUGUUCAACAGACUUUAGAUGAGAUUUUAAUUUCUCUUCGGAAACUAAGUGUCUGCUGGGCUCUGUUUUCAACAACUGUAUCUGUUUUCCACGAAGGUAGAAUGUUUUUUUUUUUUUUUUUUUUCCGAAGGUAGAAUGUGAAAGUGUACAGAGAAUCC
rnacentral:lncRNA from 1 species